UACGUAGGGGGCAAGCGUUGUCCGGAUUUAUUGGGCGUAAAGAGCGUGUAGGCGGCUAGAUAGGUCCGUUGUGAAAACUCGAGGCUCAACCUCGAGACGUCGGCGGAAACCAUCUGGCUAGAGUCCGGGAGAGGAGAGUGGAAUUCCUGGUGUAGCGGUGAAAUGCGCAGAUAUCAGGAAGAACACCCGUGGCGAAGGCGGCUCUCUGGGACGGUACUGACGCUGAGACGCGAAAGCGUGGGGAGCGAACAGG
rnacentral:rRNA from 1 species